GGCAGGAUAGUCCCGUGGUCAGGGCAUUUGACUCCCAGCUGAAAGGUUCUGGGUUCGAUCCCCAGUGUCGCUA